AAUGCAACGUGCUGUGAGCGUGCUCAUGCUGUGGCGAAAGAGCGGAGGGAAUAUUAGAAAAUGUCGGAAAAAUGGGAAAAUGCAAGUUUCAGCAGAAGUGGUUGGAUGAGGAACUAUUCAGAACCUGGUUAAAGCCCGUUCGGUAAACCCGGAGAGGCAUUUUGCAGCGCAUGCAAAAAGAUCUUCAAACUUUGCACAAUGGGUGUCAAUGCGGUGAAAUCACACAUGCCGUCAGAUAGUCACAAGUUGGCGAUUAAAGACAGGCAGCAGUUAACUGUGCCGAAUUUCUUUGCCGUGACCAGCAACGCAAGUUCUGCUGUCGCCACCACAACUGCAGCUGCUGCUGCUACCACCACACCUGCCACUAUAGUGACUGCCUCCAGCCUUUUCAGACACCCCUGUCCAGUCCGCGUGCACAGACACCUUGUCCCUAUCCUCAUGCUCAUCGGAGAGUGAUGCUUCUCUGAUGUCCCCAAAAAGACAGCGCACUGAUGACACCUUUCUGAUGUCCCCAAAAAGUUGGCAAACUAAUGACAGUGCACAGGCCAAAGAGGAACACUUUUAUGAUGCAGACAGCAAUGAGGGCUACAUUGCCUGGAAGUUUAAAAACACACAGUGAGAGCUCAGCAGUGGCGGUGGGAGACCAGUGUCACGAGGCCAUAUCUCUACUGAAACACAGCACAGACAAAGAACAGAUCUUCAUUAAAAUGAGAGCAACAUUCCAGCACAGACAAAAAUUAAUCCAUGAUCCUGAGCAAUGCAGCACAGUGCUACAAGUGUUCCAGAGAUUCCUUGACACAAAAGGCCUGGUGUUAUAAGACUUUGAGCUGCUGUUUGGAGCUGAGACUUCAUCUAAACUCCUUGAGAAAUGGGGAACACUCCUGAAAGCCAAAGUGAUAGAGCAAGCCAAAAACCUCAGCAAGACACCCCUGCUUGACUACCUCAUCCAGUCUGUGGAGGAGAACCCUGAUGAGGAUGAUGAGGUCCCAGGUAAAUGAUUGACAUUAACCUGGUGUGUAUUUGGUCAUCUUUUCAAAUAUUGAUUUAUAUUUUUAUUGGUGAGGGCUUUUCGAAUUUGAAUUUUGAUGUAUCAAGGGCUUUCAUGAGGUGUAUUUCAUGCUAAAAGCAGGUGCUCUCCCCCCUUCUUAGGUUGGGAUAGUGACAUGGCCUCAUUGCUACUGCUGGUCUACCUCCUGCCACCACCACCAAGUGGAAAGAAAGGAGAGGUGAAGAUCAGUAUUCGGGAAGCUGUGGAGCAUGUAGUCAAGUUUCAUAAGUCAUGUCGCAGCCUUCACAAGCACUCUGGUCCAGACCAGCGGAAGCAGCCAUACAUCCUGGCAGUUGGGACGACAACAAACAGCAUCCAUGAGUACUACAUCGGGUUGGAUGGUGAGCUCCUUCCCUGCAAGACCAAGUCUUCCCUGUCAGCCUUUGAUGAACUUUUCGAAGCACAUUAUGUGUUUGGCAUCUCCUAUGACAAGGCCUUAAACAGCAUGUACACAUUUGUGCAGACCACCAUCUACAACAUUGAUGUAGGUCUUUCUCAUGAAACUCCCAGAGUCAAGGAUCUUAGGGCUAAGCUCCUUAACUGAAGAGUUUGAUGUUUAGAUGCUUCAUUUGCAAGUCCACUUUUGUCACUGUUCAACAGUUGGCCCGUCAUCUCAAGCUUUCACAUGCCUUUUAUCCUGGUAAGAAGUUUCAAUUACUGUGUGACCAGAAUGGAUGCCACCAGAGAUUUUGCACUUUUUCGGGCUUCAGGAAACAUCUCUAUAGUAAACAUAGCGCUGAAAGUCUAGAUCAAAUCGAUAACAAACCCAUCACUCCUUCAGUUGAUGUAUCUGAUCAGCAAACUGUAUCAACUUUAAUUCCAGAGCAACCAGAGAAUUAUCAAAGCUGCAAUGAGAACAAACAACAUACCCAAGAAAUGUAUGCAUCCCUUAUUGCAAAACUCCAAGGCUGAGGUGUGGCUACUAAUGUCAUAAAGACUGUUGUUGAAAAUAUGGAGGAGCUUGUAGAGGAAUUGCAUUCAAAUGUCAAAGAAGAUGUUGUAAAACUACUUCCUAAUGAUGAGAACAAAAUUUGACAAUUAUUUUGACAGCCUUGAAAAUCCAUUUAGCAAACUGAACACAGAGACAAAAUGCAAAAACAUUUCAGUAAAUGUAAUUUAAUUUCUUUCCUAUUUAUUUAUUAAUUUAUUUGUUUAUUUUUUGAUUAUUACCCUCCUUCUCUCUUUUUUCUUUUUUUUCUCUCCCCCCUUUUCCCACUUAAAAGAAAUGGAUAGGAUUACUACAAAGUUUUUAAUCUAAGUUUAUUUUUCUAGGUAUAAAGUAGAAGAUGUGGGAGGGAGAGGGAUAGAUGGAGGGGGGAGGGGGAAAAACAUUCAGUUGAUGAAAUCUUUGAAGGAGGAAGGUUUAUUUGGUAUUAAGUAGGUAGAGAGGCAGGUGUAUUUGUGGGAUAAUUUAUGAGUGUAAAAUUCUGAAGAUGUGAGUGAGGAGGAAUAUUUGUUAAGACCAUUGCUUGCUCGCCAAAAUGGAGUAGGGGUUUAUAGCUCUAACAAAGCAACUUUUCAUGUGGGUUCUAAGAUGUUUUCUAUUGAGUUGGGUUUCCUUGCUAAUAGAUGGUAGGUUAUUAUUUUGCGGUUCCAUUUUAAAAGCCACUAACUUUAAAUUUGAUAUAGAUCAUGGCAUAUAAAAAUUUGGUAAAAACUCUUCCUAUUACUUUUCAGGUUGCAGCCUGGAAUGUGAAUAGUUUACAGGAAGAUACUAAAAAAACAUAGAGUUUUACACCAUUUAGGGAAACUUUCCACUGACAUUGUUUUUCUGCAGGAGCUUCAUUGAGGGACUGAAGCUGGACAAAUCCAAUACCUUAAGAGAUAAUGGGUGGGGGAGGUUUUUGAGGCAACAUUUUCCUCCAGGAGCAGAGGGGUAGGAAUAUUAAUUAAUAAGAGGAUACCAUUUAAGUUACUCUCCCAACAUGCAGAUAUCUAUGGUAAUUAUUAAAUGUGAAAUGUUUGGGGAACUCUAUACCCUCAUUAAUGUUUACAAACCCCCUAUUUCAGAUAUGACUUUUUUAAACAAAGUACAAAAUGUGCUAGACAGUUCACCGACAGGAGUGAUUAUAUUGGGGGGCGAUUUGAACAACAUAUUUAGCCCAUAUGACAGCUCAUCCAAGAAUAGAAAAAUGAAUCCACCCAAAAAUCUUUUGAAUUUUCUGUCAGUAAAUGAAUUGCAGGAUAUUUGGAGAAAUUUACAUCCCAAUACAUUGGACUACACAUAUUUUUCACAUCCACAAAACAGUUACAGAUGAAUAUUUAUUUAUAUUUAAGAUUGGACUAGACAAUGUAUUAUCAAGUAUAAUAAAUGACAUUAUUAUAUCGGAUCAUGCUGUUGUCACUUGUAUUUUGUCUCCGAAACAAAAUACCCAGUUUGAUAGGACGUGGAGAAUGAAUAGAAAAUAUCUAAUGGAAACUGAAUUUAUAAAACAUGUUAAAAGUCAUAUAGAGUUAUUUAUUCAAACUAAUGUAGAUAAUGGAGACCCUCAAGACAGACCAGAAAUUGGUAUAAUUUGGGAUAUGUUCAAGGCUUAUAUAAGAGGAAUGAUGUUAGGAUAUGCGGCAAAAAAGAAAGCAAACUUGGACAAUGAGAUAAUAAAUUAAAGGAUCAAAUUAGUAUUCUAGAAAGGAAGCAUAAGAUACAGGCUAGUAGGAUCUAAUUAAUUGAGUUGCAGGAAUUAAAAUUGAAAUUGGACAGUUUAUUAUGUAAGAAAGCAAAUGAUUUCAGACAUAAUUCAAAUAAACUUAAUCACAUUUCUUCCAACAAAUCAGGUGAACAUCUAACCUCAUUAGUUAAAAAAGUUUUAAAGAGACAACCCAUAUCUCUAAAAACUGAAACAUUAGACACAGUAUACAGGAAUAAUAGUAUCAUUAAUGAGGAAUUUAAAUCAUAUUAUGAGAACUUAUAUACAUCAGAAGUAAACGACUAUGACCCUCUUCCCUUUCUUGAAUCACUCAACUUGAAACGUUUAUCAACGGAGCAAAAAUAAAAACUUAAUACAGACUUUACCUUCACAGAAAUUCAAUCUGCAAUUAAAUUUUUUCCUAAAAAAAAAAGCCCCAGGAAUGGAUGGCCUCCCAGUAGAAUUUUACUCAACAUUUUGGUCAAGCGGGCGGCACGGUGGUGUGGUGGUUAGCACUGUCGCCUCACAGCAAGAGGGUUGCCGGUUCAAUCCCGGGUGUGGGAGCCCUUCUGUGCGGAGUUUGCAUGU